AGCGAACGCUGGCGGCAGGCCUAACACAUGCAAGUCGAACGGAUCCUUCGGGAUUAGUGGCGGACGGGUGAGUAACACGUGGGAACGUGCCUUUUGGUUCGGAACAACUCAGGGAAACUUGAGCUAAUACCGGAUAAGCCCUUACGGGGAAAGAUUUAUCGCCGAAAGAUCGGCCCGCGUCUGAUUAGCUAGUUGGUGUGGUAACGGCGCACCAAGGCGACGAUCAGUAGCUGGUCUGAGAGGAUGAUCAGCCACAUUGGGACUGAGACACGGCCCAAACUCCUACGGGAGGCAGCAGUGGGGAAUAUUGGACAAUGGGCGCAAGCCUGAUCCAGCAAUGCCGCGUGUGUG
rnacentral:rRNA from 1 species